GGUUCCGUGGUGUAGUGGUUAUCACGUCUGCUUUACACGCAGAAGAUCGCCGGUUCGAUUCCGGCCGGAACCA
rnacentral:tRNA from 1 species